CGGCGAGUGAAGCGGCAACAGCUCAAAUUUGAAAUCUGGCGUCUUUGGCGUCCGAGUUGUAAUUUGCAGAGGGCGCUUUGGCAUUGGCAGCGGUCCAAGUUCCUUGGAACAGGACGUCACAGAGGGUGAGAAUCCCGUACGUGGUCGCUAGCCUUUACCGUGUAAAGCCCCUUCGACGAGUCGAGUUGUUUGGGAAUGCAGCUCUAAAUGGGAGGUAAAUUUCUUCUAAAGCUAAAUACUGGCCAGAGACCGAUAGCGCACAAGUAGAGUGAUCGAAAGAUGAAAAGCACUUUGGAAAGAGAGUUAAAAAGCACGUGAAAUUGUUGAAAGGGAAGCGCUUGCAGCCAGACUUGCCUGUAGUUGCUCAUCCGGGUUUUUACCCGGUGCACUCUUCUACGGGCAGGCCAGCAUCAGUUUGGGCGGUUGGAUAAAGGUCUCUGUCAUGUACCUCCUCUCGGGGAGAACUUAUAGGGGAGACGACAUGCAACCAGCCCGGACUGAGGUCCGCGCAUCUGCUAGGAUGCUGGCGUAAUGGCUGUAAGCGGCCCGUCUUGAAACACGGACCAAGGAGUCUAACAUCUAUGCGAGUGUUUGGGUGUCAAGCCCGAGCGCGUAAUGAAAGUGAACGGAGGUGGGAACCUUUCGGGGUGCACCAUCGACCGAUCCUGAUGUCUUCGGAUGGAUUUGAGUAAGAGCAUAGCUGUUGGGACCCGAAAGAUGGUGAACUAUGCUUGAAUAGGGUGAAGCCAGAGGAAACUCUGGUGGAGGCUCGCAGCGGUUCUGACGUGCAAAUCGAUCGUCAAAUUUGGGCAUAGGGGCGAAAGACUAAUCGAACUAUCUAGUAGCUGGUU
rnacentral:rRNA from 1 species